rnacentral:lncRNA from 1 species
AGGCCUUAUCUCUGGGAUUUACAGGUUGAUUAGGAGGAAUCUUACAGACAAGAUCAAGUUAGUGAUUAAGUCAGGGGAUAUGUAUAUAUCUUGCACAGUAAUAUGAUAACCCUAGAGUGGGAAUACAUACAUAUUUUUAUAUAGUUCCCUUAAAGCUCAUUGCCCCCUCCCCCUUUGGUCUCCUUUGUAUAGUAUUAGAGGUGAGAAGGGGCGGCUACCUUGGUUUUAAGAACCUGGCUCCCUUUGUACUCUGUCCGUCAACCCCUCAAUCUGAUCCUUUGAUGUCCUGAACCAGUUGUUGCCCAUGGAGAACAAGAUGCUGGAGACUUUGCGUUCCAUUGACAAGCAGGAGAAGCACAUGCAGGAGCAGAGUGACAUACUGAAAAACCUGCAUGGCCACAACAGUUACCUGGAUCCUAUAAUGGUCAUCGCGGAUGCACAGCAGCAGGUCCAGCUGGCCGGCCUCCACAAUUUAAAGGAGCUGCUGCAGCAGCUGCUGGACCACCACAACAGCACUCUAACCAGCAUCCAGGACAGCUUGCAAGCUGCCAGCAGCAACUCCAGCCUCCGGCAUCAAAAUCAACACCAUCUUCUGGAGAUCC